AAUAACUUUAUUUUUCGUUUUCCGUGUUUGACCAUUCGUCUUAUUUGAAAUAUUUUACGAUUGAUACUUUUAUUAUUACUACUAGAUAAUAAAAUAUGAAUAGUACUUUAUACGUCAUAAUUAUUUUUUAAGUUUUUAUAUAAAUUUUUCAAAUAAGACGAAUGGUCAAUCGUUGGAUACGGAAAAAC
rnacentral:pre_miRNA from 1 species